rnacentral:miRNA from 1 species
CUCUGUAUGUUUCCACAGCUUUCUUGAACCGCUUAUUUCAUCUUGAACCGAUGAGCUUGAAGCGGUUCAAUGAAGCUGUGGGAAGAAACAGAGA